UAUAUCGGAACGUACCCUAGAUGGGGGAUAACGUAGCGAAAGUUACGCUAAUACCGCAUACGAUCUACGGAUGAAAUGGGGGCUCGCAAGACCUCAUGCUCAUGGAGCGGCCGAUAUCUGAUUAGCUAGUUGGUGGGGUAAAGGCCUACCAAGGCGACGAUCAGUAGCUGGUCUGAGAGGACGACCAGCCACACUGGGACUGAGACACGGCCCAG
rnacentral:rRNA from 1 species